rnacentral:rRNA from 1 species
GGUGAACGCUGGCGGCGUGGAUAAGGCAUGCAAGUCGAAUGAGUUUAUACUCAUGGCAGACGAGGUAGGAACACGUAGGUACAAACCCCAAAGUCACGGAUAACCCGGCGAAAGUCGGAAUAAUACGUGAUAGUCUCUUCGGAGUAAAGAUUUAUCGCUUUGGGCUUGGCCUGCGGGCUAUCAGCUUGUUGGUAAGGUAACGGCUUACCAAGGCUACGACGGCUAGGGGAGGUGAGAGCCUGACCCCCACCGAUGGAACUGCGAUACGGUCCAUACUCCUACGGGAGGCCGCAGUCAAGAAACUUCCGCAAUGGACGAAAGUCUGACGGAGCGACGCCGCGUGGUUGAUGAAGUCCUUAGGGACGUAAAAACCUUUUAUGAGGGAGGAAGUAUAUUGACGUUACCUCAUGAAUAAGGGGCUCCCAAUUCUG